UUCGUAGUGGUCCAGAGGUUAAGACUCUGUGCUUCCAAUGCAGGGGACACAGGUUCAACUCCUGGCCAGGGAA
rnacentral:tRNA from 1 species